UUCGCGGUCACGGAGGUCUGGGGCCGGUGUCACCGGCUCCUCGAGGGAGGGGGCGCCCAGCGCGGUGUAGAGUCGGGGUCGCGCCCGGAAACUCGCCGAACGCCGAUCUCCCACCUUCCCAAAGGCGUUUCGCGUGUUCUUUUUUCCCAGCCCGAGGUCGUUUUGCGUGGACACAGUAAGAGGCCGGCCGGCCCGCCCAAGGUCUACGGAGCAACAGGCGGUCAGGGCUCCGCCAGGGAAUCUGGAGAAGCAGGGGGCCACCUUCCCCAUCUUCCGAGCCACUCCCCGUUCAGAGUUACAUCGCGGGGUCUCGGGCCUUCAAGGGUCCCUAAGCCAUGAGAUGGCCUCACCCUGAGGAAGGGGGUGGGCGGGCAGAAUGUUCCAAAGCCUGCUGGGUCCGGGAGCUCAUGGAGGAAAAUGCAAGGUGCUGACCCAGCCUCCCAAAGAGGGUGCUCUCAAUGGUAAGAAUCGGCCGACCUGAAUGACCCCAACACCUAGAACGCCAAUAAUCCAACACAGAAGGAAGGCUCCCUCUGGCCCCCUUUCUCAUCAGAGCCCUGGGCCAUCAGGCCCUGAAACUGAAGCUGAAACAGAACCAGAUCUACAAUCAGUUCUAAAGAAACAGCGGGAGGGCCAGGGAGCCUGUGCUCUCUCAAGACACCCUAAACAAUUGCUUCCUUGCAGCCUGGGCUCAAAGUGAAUUGAGCAGUGUCCUCUUCUGGUCGUGUGGCUGUAACAGAAGCUUGUUUCCUGAAAACAGGGAUGAUAGUAGGUGCUUCUCAAGGCUUGACGAUCAAAGGAAAUGAAAUGAAAUGAGAUUAAAAAGUGUCCAACAGAUGGCAGCUAUUACUAUUACCAUCGUUAUUUUCAUUAGAAACGAGUGCCCUGAUGAAUCCAUGAGCUGGCCCGGUGAGGCAGUCACGGAGAGGCUGCCUGUAGCAAGCAAACCUGGCUCCUUCUGCACCACUUGUAAGGAUGGAGCAAGUGACUCUCUCAAGGAUUCUAAGCAAGGUCAGCUGAUGAAUAUAACAGUAAUG